rnacentral:rRNA from 1 species
AUAACGGUCCUAAGGUAGCGAAAUUCCUUGUCAGGUAAGUUCUGACCCGCACGAAUGGCGUAAUGAUUUGGGCACUGUCUCAACAGCCCGCCCGGCGAAAUUGUAGUACUGGUGAAGAUGCCAGUUACCCGCAACUAGACGGAAAGACCCCAUGGAGCUUUACUGUAGCCUAAUACUGAAGAUCGGUAAUGCAUGUACAGGAUAGGUGGGAGCCAGCGAAACCCGGGCGUCAGCUCGGAUGGAGGCAACCUUGGAAUACCACCCUUGUAUUGCUGGUUUUCUAACCUGCGGCCAUGAAUCUGGUCGGGGGACACUGUUAGGUGGGCAGUUUGACUGGGGCGGUCGCCUCCAAAAGCGUAACGGAGGCGCUCAAAGGUUGGCUCAGCACGGACGGAAAUCGUGCAUAGAGUGCAAACGCAUAAGCCAACUUGACUGCGAGACCGACGGGUCGAGCAGGUACGAAAGUAGGAGUUAGUGAUCCGGUGGUAUGUGAGUGGAAAUGCCAUCGCUCAACGGAUAAAAGUUACCCUGGGGAUAACAGGCUGAUCUCCCCCAAGAGUCCACAUCGACGGGGAGGUUUGGCACCUCGAUGUCGGCUCAUCACAUCCUGGGGCUGUAUUCGGUCCCAAGGGUUCGGCUGUUCGCCGAUUAAAGUGGUACGCGAGCUGGGUUCAGAACGUCGCGAGACAGUUCGGUCCCUAUCUGUCGUGGGCGCAGGAUAUUUGAGGAGCUCUGUCCUUAGUACGAGAGGACCGGGAUGGACGUACCUCUGGUGCACCAGUUGUCAUGCCAAUGGCACGGCUGGGCAGCUAUGUACGGAACGGAUAAACGCUGAAAGCAUCUAAGCGUGAAGCCGACUCCAAGAUUAGAUAUCCCAUCGUAUAACGAGUAAGACCCCUUGAAGACUACGAGGUUGAUAGGCUGCGUGUGUAAGUGCCGUGAGGCAUUCAGCUUGGCAGUACUAAUAGGUCGAGGGCUUGACCAC